UGAAGUUGUGUUGAGAGGGACAUCUGGCAUAAACAUCUGCCAAUUCAACAUGCAGAUCCACCUUGAUCUGCUGUGGUGACCCUGA